rnacentral:rRNA from 1 species
GAGUUUGAUCUUGGCUCAGGAUGAACGCUGGCGGCGUGCUUAACACAUGCAAGUCGAACGAUGAUCCCAGCUUGCUGGGGGAUUAGUGGCGAACGGGUGAGUAACACGUGAGUAACCUGCCCUUGACUCUGGGAUAAGCCUGGGAAACUGGGUCUAAUACCGGAUAUGACCUUCCAUCGCAUGGUGGUUGGUGGAAAGCUUUUGUGGUUUUGGAUGGACUCGCGGCCUAUCAGCUUGUUGGUGAGGUAAUGGCUUACCAAGGCGACGACGGGUAGCCGGCCUGAGAGGGUGACCGGCCACACUGGGACUGAGACACGGCCCAGACUCCUACGGGAGGCAGCAGUGGGGAAUAUUGCACAAUGGGCGCAAGCCUGAUGCAGCGACGCCGCGUGAGGGAUGACGGCCUCGG